rnacentral:rRNA from 1 species
UGGGGAAUAUUGCACAAUGGGCGCAAGCCUGAUGCAGCCAUGCCGCGUGUGUGAAGAAGGCCUUCGGGUUGUAAAGCACUUUCAGCGGGGAGGAAGGCGUUAAGGUUAAUAACCUUGGCGAUUGACGUUACCCGCAGAAGAAGCACCGGCUAACUCCGUGCCAGCAGCCGCGGUAAUACGGAGGGUGCAAGCGUUAAUCGGAAUUACUGGGCGUAAAGCGCACGCAGGCGGUCUGUCAAGUCGGAUGUGAAAUCCCCGGGCUCAACCUGGGAACUGCAUUCGAAACUGGCAGGAUAGAGUCUUGUAGAGGGGGGUAGAAUUACAGGUGUAGCGGUGAAAUGCGUAGAGAUCUGGAGGAAUACCGGUGGCGAAGGCGGCCCCCUGGACAAAGACUGACGCUCAGGUGCGAAAGCGUGGGGAGCAAACAGG